CCAGUUCUCAGGCGAGAGCCGCGGCUGACAGGGUCUGGGACAGAAGGAAAGCCCUCCGGCCUCCAGGCCCUGCCUUCUGCCUGCACAUUCUGCCCUGAUUUCCGGAACCUGGAAGCCUAGGCAGGCAGGGGGGAACUCUGACUCGCCUGUGCUCUGAAGCUUGAUCCGAAAGCUUCCACAGUGAGGACUGCUCCGUGGGGGUAAGAGAGCACCAGGCACUGAGGCCUGGGAGCUCCACAGACCAACACCCCUGCUCCUGGCGGCUCCUACCUGGGACUUAGACCCUCAGGUCCCUAAUAUCCCGGAGGUGCUCUCAAUCAGAAAGGUCCUGCUCCGCUUCUCAGUGGAAUGGAACGGAUUUAGAAGCCUGCAGUAGGGGAGUGGGGAGUGGAGAGAAGGAGCCCAGAGUUACAGACAGCGGCGAGAGGAAGGAGGGGCGUCUUUAUUUUUUUAAGGCCCCAAAGAGUCCGAAGUUUACAAGACCAGAAAUGCCACGGCCGCGUCCUGGCAGAGAGAAAAGGCUGAAAUGGAGGAGCGGCGCCUUCCUUAUAAGUAUGCACAUUGGCGAGAAUAAACAGAAUUAAGUGCUGCAACCCAAACCAGCAAUUACACUCAAGCUCGUUGGGGCCUAAGCCAGUACCGACCUGGUAGAAAAGCAACCACGAAGCUAGAGAGAGAGCCAGAGGAGGGAAGAGAGCGCCAGACGAAGGUGAAAGCGAACCACGCAGAGAAAUGUAGGCAAGGGAGCAAGGCGGCAGUUCCCGGAACAAACGUGGCAGAGGGCAAGACAGGCACUCACAGACAGAGGUUUAUGUAUUUUUAUUUUUUUAAAAUCUGAUUUGGUGUACCAUGAGGAAAAGGGAAAAUCUGGGGAAUUGGAGUACAGAGAGAAUAAUCCGGGUCCUAGCUCGCCACAUGAACGCCCAGAAGGAGAGAACGCUGGAAAAACCUGAGCGGGUGCCGGGACAGCACCCGGCUCGGGUCAGCCACUGCCCCACACCGGGCCCACCGAGCCCCCCCGCGCGGCCACCCGGGCUUCCUUGCUCUUCUUAUCAUCUCCAUCUUUAUGACGAGGCUUGUUAUUAACAAGACCAGAGAGCUGGCCACACACCUCUAUCUCAGCCGCGCCCGCUCAGCCGAGCAGCGGCCGGCGGGGGGACUGGGAGGCGCUAAUUAAUUGAUUCCUUUGGACUGUAAAAUAUGGCGGUGUCUACACGGAACCCACGGACUCAUAAACAAUAUCUCUGUUGGGCGUGAGUGCACUGUCUCUCAAAUAAUUUUUCCAUAGGCGUAUGUCAGAGGGUUCUGGAUUUUUAGUUGCUAAGGAAAGACCCAAAUGGGACUAAUUUCAGGAGGCCCAAACAGAGUCCUUUCAUUGUCAGAAAAUGCUUCCCCAAAGGGGUUGGGAGUGUGUUUUGUUGGAAAAAAGCUUGGGUUAUAGGAAAGCCUUUCCCUGCUAAAUUGUGUAGACCCAGCUCAAUUUAAGAAUUACAAGGAAGGAAAGGGGUUGUGUAGGCCGGAAGCCUCUCUGUCCCGGCUGGAUGCAGGGGACUUGAGCUGCUCCGGGAUUUGAGAGGAACAUAGAAGCAGAGGUCCAGCCUGUGCUUCACGCUGAUUCUUACACUUAAGAUUCAAAAACAAAUUUUUAAAAGUGAAACCAGCCCUAGCCUUUGGAAGCUCUUGAAGGUUCAGCACCCACCCAGGAAUCCACCUGCCUGUUACAGGCCUCUCCAAGACACAGUGGCACCGCUUUUCUAACUGGCAGCACAGAGCAACUGUUUAAUAUGCUUAUAUUAGGUCUAGAAGAAUGCAUCUUGAGACACAUGGGUAACCUAAUUAUAUAAUGCUUAUUCCAUACAGGAGUGAUUAUGCAGUGGGACCCUGCUGCAUACGGGACUUUGCACUCUAAAUAUAGACCCCAGCUUGGAACAAAGUUGCAGUAGAAACGUAGACAUAGGAGAACACUUAAAUAAGUGAUGCAUGUAGACAUAGAAGGGGUAUUUAAAAGACAGAAAUAAUAGAAGUACAGAAGAACAGAAAAAAGACUCAGCAGAUGGAGAUUACCAUUCCCAAUGCCUGAACUUCCUCCUGCUAUUAAGAUUGCUAGAGAAUUGUGUCUUAAAAAGUUCAUGAACCCAGAAUAAUGCAAUUUCAGUGUAUUUAGUACACACACACAGUAUGUAUAUAAACACAACUCACAGAAUAUAUUUUCCAUACAUUGGGUAGGUAUGCACUUUGUGUAUAUAUAAUAAUGUAUUUUCCAUGCAGUUUUAAAAUGUAGAUAUAUUAAUAUCUGGAUGCACUUUCUAUGCACUGGUUUUAUAUGCCUUAUGGAGUAUAUACUCACAUGUAGCUAGAUAGACUCAGGACUGCACAUUCCUUGUGUAGGAUGUGUGUGUGUGGUGGUUUUAUGCAUAAAUAAAGUUUUACUUGUGGUGAAUAUA
rnacentral:antisense_RNA from 1 species